CGGCUCCGCCGCUCCUUCCUCACUGAUUGUCCCUCUCUGUGUGCGAUCGUGCCAUUGAUACCCACUUUACAGCGUGUCUGUGGAAAGUCAGCCUCUCUCUCUAAAUCUGUGCGUCCCUUACUCUCCAUUUUCCUCCCCUCUGGUUGCGCUGUGGCAAACUAACAAACAGAGGAGGUGUUAACUACUUUUUUUGCCUUUUCCUAAACGCGCCUCCCCGUUAUCGCUCGGUUGCUGCAGCGCCUUCACCAGAAAGGGUCGGUGCCGCACUGAUGAUACUCCUACUCCGCAGAAAAGUUUUCGGUUUGUUGUGAGGAUAAAAAAAAAAGACGAAAAAGCCGGAAACCAAACAGCUGUCUGCAGUAGAAGCGGACUCUCGCCAAGGAGAGGGAGUUUCUCCUUUGAUGUUGGAAGGUAGUCGGCAAAGCUUUGAAGCUUAACUAGAGCGGCACACUGCACUACUCAAUCCUGUACAGUGACUGCCAGAAGAUGAGGAACCAGCAUUGACCAACAGAUGUCCUCCCUUUUUGGACCAUUAGGCUUCAACAUCACAUCCAACACCCAUAAGCGAGGGAAGCUUUUACCUGCGUCUGCCCUGGAAGACAACCUGAAUCUUGACCAUUUUUAGUCUUUGACAUCAGCACAAAACUGGUUCAGAUAUACUCAGUGGCAUUUGCCUAAAUGAUCUGAACUGAAUUAUUCCCAAGUGAAUUUGUUUGCUGACACAUUAUAUGAUUUGAGUUUCCUGAGACCCUUCCCCCAAAGACAACAUCAUUCCAGUCACCAUCUGAGACUCCUGCAUCUCCUCAGACCCGUUUCAAGGGCCUUGAGAAUUGCCUUUAGUUUCCCUGAGGAGGAAUCCUUUCCUCCUCCUCCUAAAAUCCUUACAACGUCCUUCAACCGCCCAGACAUGGACCUCCACCGGGCAGCCUUUAAGAUGGAGAGCUCCUCCUAUCUCCCAAAUCCUCUUGCUUCCCCGGCCCUCAUGGUGUUGGCUUCCACGGCUGAAGCAUCUCGUGACGCUUCCAUUCCAUGCCAACAGCCUCGUCCAUUUGGCGUCCCUGUUUCUGUCGAAAAGGACGUUCAUUUGCCAUUUAACAAUGGCUCGUACACCUUUGCAUCAAUGUAUCAUCGCCAAGGUGCAGUUCCACCAGGAUUUCCCAACAGGGACUUUCCUCCAUCCCUCCUCCACCUUCAUCAUCAGUUUGCCCCACCCAACCUGGACUGCUCACCCAUCAGCAUGCUGAACCACAGUGGUGUGGGCGCCUUCAGACCUUUUGCCUCACCUCCGGAAGAUCGGGAUGGGGCGCCAGGCGGUUAUCAGUCCGCUUUCACCCCAGCCAAGCGCCUCAAAGGCUGCCUUGAUGCUGAGGCUUCACCCCACCUGCGGUACUCUGAUGCUGAGGGUAAAGAGUAUGACUUUGGCGGCACCCAGAUCCCUCCUGGAGGCUCACCCAGCAGUGCCUUGAAAGCAGUUGAGGACAGCGGGAAAAAGAUCUUCGCUGUGUCAGGCCUCCUGUCAGACCGAGAGACUUCCUCCAGCCCAGAAGACCGCAUUGAACGCUGUAAAAAGAAGAUGUCCCUAUAUGACAACCAGGCUCCAGUUUGUCCAAUUUGCCAAGUGCUGCUGAGGCCCGGAGAGCUACAGGAGCACAUGGAGACAGAAAUAGAGAGACUAGCUGCCAUAUGUCUCAGUAAGAACCCCUCGUCCAAGGAUGGUGUAGCCACUCCAGGAACUCCCAAGUCGAUGCUUUUGUCUGUGCACAUCAAGAGAGAGGGAGAGUCUCCGGUGGUGUCACCCCUGUCAUCCGAAGAUGCCCACCACUCCGACAGAUAUCAGACAUUUUUAAGAGUUCGGGCAAACAGGCAAACAAGACUGAAUGCCCGUAUAGGCAAGAUGAAGAGGAGGAAGCCUGAGGAGGGGGGGCAGGUAUGUCCGCUGUGCAGUGCCCCAUUGGCUGGGAGCGAGGAGGAGAUGAGUAGACAUGUGGAACAAUGCCUGAUCCAGCGCGAGGGAGCUUUGGCCGACGAAGACUCCGCGGACAUGGACGGAGAGAACGGGCGGGGCUUUGACGAGUACGAAUGGGCGGGUCAGAAAAGGAUCAGAGCCACAUCCUUACUGGAGGGAGGUUUCAGAGGAACUGGAUUUGCGACAUGCAGUAUCAAGGAGAGCGCGGCGGAUAGCGACGCCGACCUCGACGUGGACGGAGACGACACGCUGGAGUACGGCAAGGCGCAGUACACCGAGGCCGACAUCAUCCCGUGUUCUGGAGCCGGCGAGGACCAGGGGGAGGCCAGGGAGAGGGAGGCGCUGCGAGGAGCGGUGCUCAACGGCGGGAUGCCUUCCAACAGAAUAACGCCCGAGUUCUCCAAGUGGGCAAGCGAUGAGAUGCCUUCUACGAGCAACGGGGAGAGCAGCAAGACAGACCCCAGCACUCCUUCAUCAUCCUCCUCGUCUUCCUCGAAUGCUCCACGUACAUGUAAAAACAGCGAGAUUGAAAAGGUGACAGAGGAGGAGUCAACAGCUACUACUAUGGAGGCUCUGAAGGCCCGGAUCCGAGAGCUCGAGAAGCAGAUCCUGCGGGGAGACCGGUACAAGUGUCUCAUCUGCAUGAGAAAGCCUGCUCUCAAGCCAGGCGCAGAGAUCAAGAGCAUAGGGGUGUGGUCGGGCUCCCGGCCACUGGCCAAUGAGGUUGGAGAGAGGCAACCUAAGUCCCUCCCCCUCGGCCUGUACUGCCUGUACAGGGGCCUUGUGAUUGGUGGCUACGGCAGCAGCAUAAAGAGGCUCCUCCCACAACCCCUACGGAGGAUGAACAGACGGCGGUGCUUCUUUCACGGCUUUGUCCUGCAUCCCCUCCCUGUGAUUGCCCUCCCACCAUCUGUAGUCGUUGCCUGCCCGAUGUCAUGUCAGACUCCUACACGAUGCCUCUGACGUCCAUCCAGUGCUGGCACGUCCAUUGUGAAGAGUGCUGGCUCAGGACUCUGGGGAACAAGAAGCUAUGCCCGCAGUGUAACACCAUCACCUCGCCUGGAGACCUGAGACGUGUCUACUUGUAAACAGCACAACGGCUGCCUCCUCAUCCUUCCAGUUCCUUCAUCAUGGGUUCCACUGUUCCCCCGUCACCAUUAGUUUUCUCCUGUGGACUGUAGAUCCCAAGCCUCCGUGAGCAUUUAGAGACAAGACGGCAGUCUUUGAGACUCCACUGGCUUUUUAGGAGGCUGACACUCUCUUGAAGAAGUGAUUUAUGGACACUCUUGCUGACUGUCUGAUCGUUCAUUUGCAGAUAAAGAAUAAAAUAUGAAAAGCUGAAUUUCCAGAUGUUUAACAGAUAUGUUCCACUAAAGGACUUUCUCAGUGGACCACCCGCCCCCAAAAUCCCUCAAAAACUAAGCAAAGUCCUGCUGACUCCCGGUAGCUUCAUGCUGCUGGGGAUGAACUCCUUUUUCCCACGCUUCUUAAAGAUUUGCCUCCAGCUGGACAGCAGGUGCAACAUUGAUGACUUGACAGAAAGCUUCUGUUUUAAUUUUUUUUAUCAGUUUUUUUUCUGUUGUAAAAAAUCAAACUCUUUCCUCAUAGAACCUUUGCUUGAGUGUUUAAAAGAAAAUGGACCAGCCACCAAGAUUGAGCUUUCAACCAAACAGAAUACGCUCAGAACCCUUGAAAAGAAGUUAGACACUUGCUGUUCUUCACUUCUUUUACAAAACCUCUUAUUUCCCUUUUUGUGAUGGUCUAGUGAAGUAAACCAAAUUAUCUCCCCUCCAAAAUGCAGCGCAAGCACAUGUAAUAUAGUUCUAUGUAAGUUUACAAUGUUGGGUGUAAAUGACAUGGAGUUCAAACACACUUCUACACUCACAUACAUUACAAUCAAAAGACACACACUGAAGUAUACAUUUGGAUCCCUUUUUUUUUCUUUAAGUCAGAAGUCAGUUUGGGAAAAGUGUGUAGGGGGGAAAAAAUGGCUGGAAUAAAAAGCCUUCUGUAUUUUUGAAAAAAGAAAAGAUCAUUUCAAGAUCUGUUGAAGUUUUAUUUGAAUGUACAGGAAUAAAAAAAGAUAAUAAAAAUAAUAAACUACUCAAGAUUAGAUGGUCGAGAUGUAGGUGGUCUAGUUUUUCUGCAGGGUACACUGGAAAACCAGAUUAGAUCAUAAAGCAAGGACAAAUGUUAGUUUUAUUGAAUGGAGAGUUUGCUAUUGUCCAAGAUUUCCUGAAACCAUGCAGAGCUGUGCAAAUGUUCAGAGAAACAUUUUUCAGUUUACCACCCUUUCUUCUUCGUCUCAGUUGGGGUAACGCAAUGAUCAGAUCAUAGUCUUUAACCCCUACAUGUCUCAGAACGUUUUUUCUAAUAUUCCCAUAAUGCUGUGCUGCAUAAAAGGGUCCUGAGAAACAAGUCCAAAGGGAAGUUGUUUUUUUUUUUUUUUGUCCUAAGCGGUAACAAAUGAGUAAAGGCUCUUUAAAAGAAAGAUGCCUAAGGCUGUACUGGCAAUCUCAACAACCCAGAGCAUUUUCCCCCCUUUUCCCUUUACCGCAGCGGCAUCAGCAGCCAAGAUGGUGGUGUGCUUUGUGUUUGUAAAACUAUGUAAUCUGUGACGUCUGUAUUGUUGUAAGAAAUAUUGAAAAAAAAGACAAAUAAAACUUCUCAAAUAUCA